rnacentral:rRNA from 1 species
UACGUAGGGUGCAAGCGUUAAUCGGAAUUACUGGGCGUAAAGCGUGCGCAGGCGGUUUUGUAAGUCUGACGUGAAAUCCCCGGGCUCAACCUGGGAAUUGCGUUGGAGACUGCAAGGCUGGAGUCUGGCAGAGGGGGGGUAGAAUUCCACGUGUAGCAGUGAAAUGCGUAGAGAUGUGGAGGAACACCGAUGGCGAAGGCAGCCCCCCUGGGUAGAUACUGACGCUGAGGUGGCGAAAAGCGUGGGGAGCAAACAGGG